GACGAACCGAGCGAACGUUAUUCGGAAUCACUGGGCUUAAAGGGUGCGUAGGCGGGCACGCGAGUCAGGGGUGAAAUCCCACGGCCCAACCGUGGAAGUGCCUCUGAUACCGCGAGCCUCGAGGGGGGAUAGGGGGCGUGCGGAACUUCCGGGUGGAGCGGUGAAAUGCGUAGAUAUCGGAAGGAACACCGGUGGCGAAAGCGGCGCGCUGGAUCCCUACUGACGCUGAGGGCACGAA
rnacentral:rRNA from 1 species